UGGCUCAGUUGUACUUAGGUGGGCACCUUUGUCAUUGAGAGAAAGCAUUUGAGCUCCCAGAGGUCAUGCUGACAGAAAUAAUACGUAAGAUUUUAGUACAGGGUAGUUUUCCAAAAUCAUUUCAUUCUUCAGCUUUUCAUAGUUGAUUGCAAGUACAGCGGUUGUUUGCUAGUUUAAGCUCCAAUAUGUUACACAACUAAAAAGAAAACGAUAGAUGGAAAAAGCUGUUGACUAAUUGGUGGGGAGCGGGAAUCAGGUGCACACCCAAGGGUCAUUAUAGAGUGUAGAAACAACAAAUUGCAAUUCUAUGCAAACAACUGGAAAAUGGGGUAUAUCAUUUGUAAGAGAGAAUAGCAGAACUGUAAGAUGAAUUCAUGCCAAAUCAUUCAUCAGUUUUUGCCAGGAGAAUACUACAUCUUUGUUAGUAUGUCUGUCUGACAUUUUUUUCCUGAAUUUUCUCUUUUUAUAUAUUCAUAUACACACUGAUUAUACACGUUACACCACAUAACUUGAAUUUUUAAAGUUUUUCAUAUGCAAAUAUAAAUAUACGCGUUAUGUGUGUCUAUACAUAUAUUCUAAAAUCGAUUACAUAUUUAUAUUUUAGACAUUUAUAGUCAAAUUAUAUGCAUAUAAUCAUAAAAGUGCAUUUUUUCAAAUUGAUAAAUAUAUCAAAAGUCAAUUCAUACAAGGGUAGCCAUGUGUUGCCACUUAUUUUCAUAACAAAUCCUAAAAGGGAAAAUGAGUCACCAAGUUCAGCUCUAGCCCUUUGCUUACAAAUAUUUUUUUCAUAUCAGAAAAUGACAAAACUAAAAAAAAAAAAAGUAUGUAAGUUGAAAUCUCAUUUAAUUCUAUUGCUUCAGCAAGUCAACUGGAAGAUUGCAACCAAGAGGGAAAAAAAAGCCCCCACACAAUGAAAUCAGUCUGCUAUAAAAGGGGACACAUGCCAGUUUUUCUUCCCCAAUGGCAGAUGCCACACCCUAAAGCAGACAGAAGGCACUGCAGUCUGUAAGAAAAGCACAACACAAAGCCGGCAGGACUUGGUUUUGUCUUUUAAACCAUGGAGAAUGCUAAAAUACCUUUUCUAAUGCAUCUUUGCUCAAGAUAAAUAGUGGACUCAUAUUUAUCCAACUUUUCAAACACACCUCAGGAAAACAAAAUAAAAGCCUCACAAUUCAUUUAAAAAUCCAGGGCUUAAUAAGCAAAACAGCAAUUGUUAGGGGUCUGUUCCAAAGUGAUGAAAUAGGCUCAUGUUUCACAAAAGGACAAUUGGACAAUUUCAAGUACAGUUUACAAUCUCUACCAUGUCUCUUGCCUCAGUUAUACCACAGGGCAACUCAACCUUCUUUAUGAUGAAAUAAGGUAACAAAAUCAUUGCAUUUGUUUUUCUUAAUGAGUUCCUUAAUUUUACACCUCUUGCCUAAAUUUCAAGCCACAAUGACAACUUUAAUAAGUGACUCUAACCACAAGGAAGCUUUGGAGGUGAGGGCUGAGAGCUGCCUAUGGCCUGGGCCACUCUGCCCGCAGACCUCCCACCCACAGGACUCUCCCCAGGCCUUUUUUUAGCCAGAGGAUUACCCCAUUAUUUUGUUAAACAUUCCUUUUUGGUUACAAAAGAUUUUCUUUUUCCUUUUUCUUCUUUUCUUUUUUUUUUAUUAUAUGAAAAUAUUAAUAUUCAAAUACUGCUCCUUUUGAAUAAGUUUUAGAGCGCUGAAUAAAAGCCUCUUCAGCUUGCCCACUGAAAGAUUGAGCCAGAUGGUAGUUUAAGAAUUCCACAGUUCUGUUCUUUUUGCUUCUUCGUGGCCCAUCAUAAUGUUUGCUUUCAGAUUAGUCCCUUCUACUGUUCUACUUAUUUACUCGAUGGCUGAAGUUAUCACGAUUCACUGCUCAUCAUAUUUCUCAGUAUUCUUUACGUAAUUUGGAAGCAAUUUAGAAUAAAGCCCUGUCAAGGUUUUACAAAUAAGAACUAUUAAAGAAUAAGGCUUUGGAUACUUGCUUUCCUUUUAGAUUUAUGAGAAAUGCGAUGAAUGGAGCUAAUGGGAUUUCCCUACUGAUCUUGGUCAGGGACUUAAAAAAGCACUAAACAAUUGUCCUUUUCACUUCUCCGAUUUAGACAUUAGCAGUGAAUGAUUGUGAGUCAGUGCAAGAUAUGAGAUACAACAUUUGAUCUGAAACAACUAUGCAAAUUAUCACGGGCCCCUAAGUUCAGAAUUCAAAACAAUUAGAAGGAUUGGAAGGAAAAAGAAAAAAAACAAGCAAAAACUAUUUUUAAAUACAAGAACUAAGACAAAAGAGUAGCUCUAUUACACUAAGAAAACUAGAGUGGGGGUAAUAAAACACAUGGGGAUAAACUACAUUUCAUCAUCAACAGAUAUACCUAGAGUCUACUUUGUCCCGUGUCCUGAGAAUAAAAUGAUGAAUAUCACCUUGGUCCUGUCCUUAGUAGGGGAGAUAAAGAUGAACAAUUGCACUGAAACACUGAGGUCUGCCCUCAAGGUCAUGGAAGAUCGGGCCAGUUUAGACUUGCCUCUCUAACCACACUUCCUGACCUGGGCCAUCAGCAGACACCUGACCCUGACCCACAAUCUGCAUAGCUCUGGCUUGACUCCAGGGACCCACCAUUGUUGAGCCUGGACUUCCAGAAUAUUGAAUCAAAUUCAUAAUCGGGCCCUAAACUUUCUCUCUGAAGCCCCUGGAAACAGUAACAGCAAUAAAAACCAAUGAAGAAACACCUUAUUGCAUUUUAAGG
rnacentral:lncRNA from 1 species